AGGACGAACGCUGGCGGCGUGCUUAACACAUGCAAGUCGAGCGGUAAGGCCUUUCGGGGUACACGAGCGGCGAACGGGUGAGUAACACGUGGGUGAUCUGCCCUGCACUCUGGGAUAAGCCUGGGAAACUGGGUCUAAUACCGGAUAUGACCUGCUCUCGCAUGGGGGUGGGUGGAAAGAUUUAUCGGUGCAGGAUGGGCCCGCGGCCUAUCAGCUUGUUGGUGGGGUAAUGGCCUACCAAGGCGACGACGGUA
rnacentral:rRNA from 1 species